GUUAUUAAUCCCCAACCUAUGUUCGUGCGCCCCUAUGCACUGUUUUGUAACCAACCUUUCUUUAAUAAACUGUUAAACUGCGACUGAUGUACAGGCACAGUACAAGGUUUUCGGUACAGGUCAGAGUACGUUUCAGAAAAGAUGGGAUUGCUAUUUUUGCUGUUCGAACUUUCUUAGGUUUCGAGACGUGAGCUCGAGGCGAUGAAGGGUCGAGCCUGAGGGACUUCCCAUUUUUCAGUGUGUGUGUCGUGGUGGCGAGGAGCGGUGGUGUAGCUUCCUUUGGCUGCUGCUGCUGCUGCUCCUCCUUUCUUUUCCCCCUUUAGUCUUUUUUAACGUUUGUCCUCGUGUCCCUCUUCCUCCUCGUUGCCUUUCCAUCGUUAUCGUUAUCAUCAUCCUCGCCCUCUCCGCCGGCCUUGUGUUCCUCACCUUACAUCUGCAGAUGGGGCUCACAUUCCUCUUCCUUUUUCUGCUGAUUCAACGCUUCUCGAUUUUAGUUUUCUUUCUCCUCGUUCUCAUCUUUUAUCUUGUCCUCCACCACUCCUCUCCACACGAACAAGGACACACACACGCCACACUGUCACUGUCGAUCCGGUGUCAUUGCAACGUCUUGUUCAGGAAACCGGAACAAGGAGACAUGAAAGUUGGCUGUGGCUGUGGUGAGCGGCGGCGGCGGCGGCGGCGGCGGCGACGGCGGUGGCGACGACGACGACGACGACGACGACGACGACGACGUGUGGCGUGGCGAGCGGGUUUCUGCAGUAUCCCUCUCCUUCCCGUUUUCUGUUAUUCCCCGUUCUCUUCCUCCGCCUGGUGUACUGCUACUCGCUCUUGUACGGUGACUUUUUUUUUUUCCUUCGUUGCAAUAUUUUGUCUGUUUUCUCUUUUCUUUUCUUCUCGUGCUUUUUAUUCACAUUAUUAUUUCUUAUUCUAUUUUGUUUAUUUUGUGUGUUUGUACGUGUGUAUUUCCCUCUUCCACAUUUUAUUUGGAUUUUCUUAAUUUUUCUCGUAUUUUUCUAUUCUCCUAUUCUUCCUUGUAUCACACACACACACACACACACACACCGCGUAGUGUAGUGGUUGUUAGCACGCUCGGCUCACAACCAAGAAGGCCUGGGUUGGAAUCCCGGGAGCGACGAGGCAAAUGGGUGAGCCUCUUAAUGUGUAGCCCCUGUUCACCUAGUAGCAAGUAGGUAAGGGAUGUAACCCGAGGGGUUGUGACCUCGCUGUUUCGGUGUGUGGUCACACACACACACACACACUUCAUCGUCUCUUACUACCGAUGCCGUUGCUAUGACAAGUAUUUUAUAUUAAAUUAAUUUAUUAUUUAUUAAUUUAUUCGCUUAUUAUUAUUAUUAUUAUUAUUAUUAUUAUUAUUAUUAUUAUUAUUAUUAUUAUUAUUAUUAUUAAAUAAUUUGCAUAUUUAAUUAUCUACAUAUAUUAUUUAUCUACAUAUAUUAUUUUUAUUUUAUUAUUAUUAUUAUUAUUUAUUUUAUUUAUUUAUUUUUAUUUUUGUGUGUGUGUCGGGGAUGAGUUUUACAGCUCUCAUCGCAAGUUGUAUUAAAAUUCAAUAGCCACAUUUGCUCGCUCGUGUAUAUAUUGUUUAGUGUUAUCAGCGGUUCUUAAGAAACAGGAUUUUAAGAGAUUAUAAACUUUACGUGAUAUUAAGUUUUGUUUGGUUAACACUUGAUGCGCUUCAUCCUUCUCUCGCUCUUUGUUCGUGUUUCAUUCUCUUUCCUCGUGUAAACUGCUGUCCUCAUUCGUUUGUUCCCUUCUUUUAUGCACUUCAACCAUCCAGCCACAAUUUCUCGGUUGCCUCUGCACUUGUGUUGUUGUCUUGUUCAUCUUGUAUUCUAAGGCAAUGGAACAGUCCGUUGAUUUCUGUUGAUAUUUUUAAAUUCUUGCACUAUAUACAUUUUUCAUAGAUUUUCCUCACCACACGCCACCACCGUCCCUGUUGAUGCUGCCGUCAACUUUAUUGGUGAGCCUUGCGUCCCAAACCUUUUUUUUUCCCUCUCUCCUGUAUUCCUCACCGCUCGUUUAGGCUGUCAUCUUUCCCUUCCCCUUUCUCUUUCUUUUCACCACUUUCACCUCUCUCUCUCUCUCUCUCUCUCUCUCUUUCUCUCUCUCUCUCUCUCUCUCUCUCUCUCUCUCUCUCUCUCUUGUUUUGGAAUAAAUUAUUUAAAAAUAUCGUGUUUAUUUACGUGAUUUUUUUUUCUCAUGCUUUUCUUGUCCCCAUUUCCUUUCUCUCAGCUUCCAUUUAUUUUUCUUGAAUAAAUUCUAAGGCGUUAAAGCAAGAGAGCAGGAUACCGAGGAAACAAUAUCUGCGUGUAAUGUUCACCACCACGGUCUUGGAGAUCACGUGUUAGACCAAAGCGAGCUAUAUAUGUAUACACCUCAGGGAAAGCGUAGAGUUCAUGGCAUCCUGAUCAGUGAGUAAGCCUGGGAAUUUUCUUAAACCACUCAUCUAAUCCUGUUUUUCAUGUAGGAGGGGGUGAAGGAGAAUAUAUCUGCUCCCUCUUCAUGAUCGCCUCUAUAUGUAUGCUCAGGGAGAUCAGUAACUUCUCGCUCAUUAAUUAAUUUUCACUGCAACAUGCAACAAUUCACAGCACUAGAAACAAUGUAUGAAAUAUCUGUGAGCGUCUACAACAAACGAGAGAAUUAAAGAGUAUGUUCUGUAAUUUCUACCCAGGAUAAUGUUUGGAGGCGGCUGUCAAAAAGGAAGAGAUGUCUCAGCGUGCCAAAUAGCAGUGAAGAAGUUAAGAAUCCUUGGCAUCAGAGUGCAAAGCGAAAAUUGGCUUGUCAGACGAUAGGUAAGGACGAUACCUCACAGCUAGCGAGUAAAGUGGGGACCGGCAGCAAUCAGGGAAGGACUACAUGCACGCAGUUUCACUAAUCUUGUUGUAGUCUUAAAUUCCUUUCUCUCGUCCACUUCCACAUCUUGUCUGCCUUUUCUGCUCUCUUCCCAUGGACUUGAAAAUAUUUCCUUUUACUACUUCAUCAUUCUUUUUCUUUUACUACUUCAUCAUUCUUUUCUCUUUUGUCUUGAUGGUCCUUGUCCUGCUCCUCGUCACUCGCCGCCACCUCUCCCUGUCAGCUUUAUUUAUUGGUGAGUUUCAAGACGUGCAAUCCCAAAGCGCUCGCUCUCUCUCUCUCUCUCUCUCUCUCUCUCUCUCUCUCUCUCUCUCUCUCUCUCUCUCUGUCGUGUGUGUGUGUUCUGAUUCUGGUAAUGUAACUUUAGAUGAUAUAGACUUCGUUUACAUGAUUUUAGACAAAUUCCUUACUCUUUUUUUCGGAAUCAGAUUCUGAUAAAACUUUUAUCCCACAUUUUUUCUUCACUUUUUUUCUCUCCAUUUUCUCACUCGGUUUUCGUUUUUGCAAGAUACCGAGAGAACAAUAUUUAAUUAAGAAAGGAUAGUUAGUGUACAUGCGUGCCUAUGGGUGGUAUAGUCCUGUAGCAGUCUGAAGAUGAUCGUAUAGUCCUGUAGCAGUCUUAAGAUGAUCAUCCUGUCAUCCACAUCCUUCUUUUUAUUGUCCUCCUUUAGGGAUUCUUGCUUCUUGCACGUAAACGUAUUGUCAUUUACUUCCUCAUUCUUUCUUCGUCUUGAUGUUACUUGUCUUGCUCUUCGUCACACGCCGCCGCCUCGCCACCACGGCUGCUGUUGGUGCUGCCGGCAACUACAUUGUCCUCGUCAUUGCGUUCCCUCAUGCGUCGCUGUCAUGGCACCCUGGAACACUACAGCCACAACUGCUGCUGUCUUUUAUCCUAUAACAGGUGAUGUGUACUACCAGUUCUCAUACGUUAUUCAGCAAGCGAUGUUUUUCUGAAAAUCAUCGUAAUUUUCCGAAAGAAUGAUAGAAUUUUCAGCAAAACCGUGGACAUUAUAUAAUCUUUUCCUAUUCCUGUCCCUAGAUUUAUUAUUCUCUCCCCUUGCAAGUCUACCACCCCCCACCUCCAUCCUUGCGGUGGUAUCUUUCAGUUAACACCUGUGUACUGUGUUUUUACUUUUUUUUUUUUUUACCUUUCAUUGACUUUUAUUCCUGUCUUCUUUUUCUCUCCGUUUCAUUUUUUUUUUUUUUCGCUCCGAUAAUGAUGUUAAUUUCCUCACACACUACGGCUCUUUUCUAGCAGCUGUGAUUUAGGAUUAGGAAUAUCUACUGGAUGGGGUUCUGUCCCUUGAUAUUGCUGAGUAUUAACCUACAGUUUUAGCCACAAAUAUUGCUGAUCAUUAGUUAUAUUAUGGUGUGGUGUGGUAGUGAUGUCAGGCUGCAGUGGUGAAAUGUUUUCUUGAUGUGGUGGUGGUUAGGAAAAGACAGUGAGAGAUAAUGGUAUAGUGAUACACAAGGUACAGUCGGCUUCAAAAUGAAACACACUUUCUUACCUCUGUUCCUACCAAUAUUUCUAGCCUCUUACCAUGUCAACUCCAGGUUUAUUAGGAGGUAGUAAAUAUGAUUGGUUGGAAGUCUGAAGCUUCCUGCACAUGCGGUAAAGAUAAUAAUGUGAAUGACUUGUGAUGAUGAGGGGAGAAAGGUGGCGAUAGAUGAGGAUGGUGGUGAUAUUGUUCAGUGAGUGAAAAAAGGUUGACGCAUGGUGCUGGAGGUGGCGGGGGGUGUUAGAGUGAUGGAGGAUCAGAGGUGAUGUGAUUGUCAAUGAUGGGUGCUGGAGUGGAGGAGGUCACGGGAGGUUGGAUAACGGCGUGAUGAUUAGUGAUGGGAGUAAUGGAUAUGACGUGUUGUGAGGGAAUGAUGAUUAAUGAUGGGAAGUGAUGUGUGCUGACAGCCUAUUUUUCUUUAGGGCAAUAUGGGCUUCGGUUCCCUCCCAUUGCUUCCUUGCAACCCUGUCUCCUUUCUCAUUUACCGAGUUUCACAUAUUACCGUUACUGGUAAUUUAAAUUUUCUUUACUCUGAGUUGUGACCUUCGUUCUUUCACUCAACUGAGUGUAUCGAAUGAUAAUUUUUACGUAAUGAAAAAAAAACGAAAUUAUUUUCAGGAUUAUCACUGCAGUCUCUCUCUCUCUCUCUCUCUCUCUCUCUCUCUCUCUCUCUCUCUCUCUCUCUCUCUCUCUCUCUCUCUCUCUCUCUCUCUCUCUCUCUCUCUCUCUCUCUCAGUAUUGUCGAUUCUCUGUUUCCAUCCUCUACAGAGCACUUUACACCGUCAUUCGUUCUCUCUCCCUCAUCUCCUCCCCUGGGACCUAGUCUGUCCUCUCAAACGGUGUUUACGAACCACAGCCACUUACCAAAGACUUAUUUAAAAUCGAUUUCUCUCCCCACCUCUUUCCCUAUCAUUGCUAGUUUUCUCAGCCUAACAUGACUUGUUACCCAGCCAGGUGUGUCAGCGGUGUUGUGAUCGUCGCCUAGAGGUGUCCAUGUUCCGGGAGUCGCUGCCCUUCCAGUCCCCCUCCGCUGUCUGUCUGAGCAACCUGGGUGAAGAGCGGCGGACGCCGCGUUCCGUGUUAAUGUUUCCUGACCAGCCGUCCUCUCUUAUUUUCCCAGUCCUAGCGAGGUGAAGGAGGGACGCUUGCUUCUGCGGCAAACAAGGAUUGAGGUGAAGGAGGGACGCUUGCUUCUGCGGCAAACAAGGAUUGAGGUGAAGGAGGGACGCUUGCUUCUGCGGCAAACAGAAGCAAUCCGCGAGGACGACAGGAAGGUGCGAACGUUUGAUUGAGGUGGAUGAAAAUGAUUAAUUAAUUGCUCAAUAUGUUGCUGACCAGCAGUCUUCAACGUUCGCACCUUGUCAUCCUCGUGGGUUGCUAUCUUAAACACCUUCACCACUUUAUCAGAAGCCGCCUCCUUUACUAACUAGUAGGGACUGGAGAGGCAAAGAGGACGGGGCUGAUCAGCAAACGGAUGGAGAAACCAAGAAUGCCAUCUCGUGUCUCCAACCCUACGGGGUGGUUGUAAGCACCGAGGACGCAAGGAUGGGGAUAGCCCACGAACGCCCGGCGAUGUCUUUAGUACGAAAACUCUGGGAGGGCGAAGGCACGUGGCAUUCAGCGGGUGAGAACUCAGCAAUGUUGCUGGAAGACAAGCAAGUGUUGCAACUGUGGACAUCUACCACCAGAGCGGUAGCCGGCCAUCACGAAUUACCCACACCAUUUCGAGAUGAAGAACCGGAUCUGCCAAACAACAACAACGAGAUGGCGCAGAAACGCUUGAAGGGACAGACGACGCCUCGCUAGGGAUCCGGACUUCAGACGACGAUAUGCAGGAGAGAGAGAGAACAAUUGCUGUUAAAGAGCGAUGCCAGCGUCUGAACGUGAAGGACCACGAGGAGUAACCUGGUGCCUGCCUCACCAUCCACUCAUGAACCCAAACAAACCUGAGAAAGUGAAGGCUUUGUUUGCGCAGCGAAGUACAACAACGUUUCCCUCAAAGACGGAGUGAUGCAGGUUCCUGACCUAAAUAGCAAACUGGUGGGUGCCCUUCUGCGUUUCCGAAGUGAACUGAUUGCCGCGAUGGCUAAUGAUGUGAAGGCAAUGUUUCUCAUCAAGCUGGCGUGACCCCUCUUCACCGAGACUCCUUAAGAUUCCUUUAGUGGAAAGAUGGGGACCUAAGGAGGGUAACGCGCGCCUACCGAAUGACGGGUAUGUCUUUUCGGGUGUGUAUGGAGUCCCUCCUGUGCUGCUUAUGCAUUGCAAUGAACUUUGAGUUUGACCGACUGUGAGGAAGAAUAUCGCAUGGCCAGUAGUAAACUAAGCAUGGAGAGGCUUGUACGUGGACAACUUGAUUCUUUCAGUACCUCCACCGAAAAUGCCUCCAGAUUUACUCGCGAUCUUCAACAAAUGCUCACAAAGAGAGGAUUUCUGCUAACAAAGUGGGGUUAGUAGUAACCAUAAGGAGACAUAGUAGUAGUACACUGUGUCCUACAGAGAGAGACAUGAAUAAGAAUAGAUCUGAGUAAGGACGCACUGGCUACAAAACAGGAUCUGGAAAGGGAUCAAUCAACUAGCUGUGAGGGGAGUACUGAGGGUGAGCAGUUCCGUGUAUGACCCUCUUGGACUGGUCAGUCCUGUAAUGAUUAAGACGAAGGCGAAGAAGAUCUUUCAGGACGAGUGCAACCGAAAGGAAGGAUGGAUGCCUCCCUCCUGCUAAAUCACCACAGGUCCUAGUUGGCUUGGCUAGAGGAGUUACCACAACUGACGGUCUUUCAAAUUCCCCGAUGCUACAGGCGGGAGGACAUGGGAGACGUUAUCACUUACCAACUGCAUCAUUUCAGAUCAAACAUGCUGAGAUGGUGAUAUUAAGAGUUGUUCAAACCACAACGUGCAAAGAAGAGAUGAACCUAAAGUUAAAGUCAAAGAAAAAAAACUACAGAGGAAGCAUUCGAUCUGUCGAGUGGAACCCUUCAUGGGUGAGGGUGGAUUUUACUCCAUGUGGACGGCUGGACCACGCACCGUUGCCUGCUACAAGUCGGUAUCCCAUUUCCAUGCUCAUACGGAGAGAGAUCAUCAUAUCACACAAAAUUGAUUCUACAAGAGUGCAUGAGAACUUACUUGACAGUUCACGCAGGAUGGGAGCAUGUUACGUCACACUUACUGGAUUCCACACACACCACCUGCCUGAGGACCGAGACUAACCCCCAUGCUGGCAUCAUUCUCGUCAGCUGGAGUGGAUUGCUUCAGACCGUUCUUGGUCAAAGUGGAAAGAAGCAGAGUGAAAGUGUUGGGGAUGCCUCCACGUGCACGCACAUAAGAACAUAAGAAAUAAGGGAAGCUGCAAGAAGCGACCAGGCUUCUUCAUGCAGGGACGUGGCAGUCUCUGUAUGAAAUAUAUCUACCUAUUUUUCUCUAUUUCUUAUCCC